AAACAAGAGUGGGCUAAGGCGCUCGAUUUUUAAAAAAGACGGAACGGGCCUCUAAAUCGACUCUGAUUAUAUUUAGCCGCGCUCAAUUUUAACAGAAUGCAACGUGACCCAAAUGACCUUGGCGAAAGAUUAAACACGAGCAUAACCCGAGUUGCGACUGGCAAUCAGAAACUAUUGUGAAGAUGACAAGGCAAUAAAUACAGACAAACGUAAUCGUCAUUGGGAAAACUAUUAUACAUUCUUUAUUUUCUAUUGUAUGCUGGGUCAAACAAGCACGGUUAUAUUUCCCAAGGCUAUGUAGAUAUAAAAAGUAAUAACAAGAAA